rnacentral:rRNA from 1 species
AUUGAACGCUGGCGGCAUGCCUUACACAUGCCAGUCGAACGGUAACAGGCCUUCGGGUGCUGACGAGUGGCGAACGGGUGAGUAAUGCAUCGGAACGUGCCCAGAGGUGGGGGAUAACGCAGCGAAAGCUGUGCUAAUACCGCAUGUGAUCUGAGGAUGAAAGCGGGGGACCAGGCAGCAAUGUUUGGCCUCGCGCCUUUGGAGCGGCCGAUGUCAGAUUAGGUAGUUGGUGGGGUAAAGGCCUACCAAGCCGACGAUCUGUAGCUGGUCUGAGAGGACGACCAGCCACACUGGGACUGAGACACGGCCCAGACUCCUACGGGAGGCAGCAGUGGGGAAUUUUGGACAAUGGGCGCAAGCCUGAUCCAGCAAUGCCGCGUGCGGGAAGAAGGCCUUCGGGUUGUAAACCGCUUUUGUACGGAACGAAAAGGCUCUGGCUAAUACCUGGGGCUGAUGACGGUACCGUAAGAAUAAGCACCGGCUAACUACGUG